rnacentral:tRNA from 1 species
CGGGGUGUGGCUCAGCUUGGCUAGAGCGCUUGAUUUGGGAUCCAGAGGUCGCAGGUUCGAAUCCUGUCACCCCGA